rnacentral:ribozyme from 1 species
ACUCGUCCCAGCGAGUAUAAAUAGGACAUUAGGCUGGAGCGGUACAUUUGUGCGUUGUC